rnacentral:lncRNA from 1 species
AGGACCCAAGUAAAACUCAUUACGUCCAACAUCAGCGGGCGCAAGAAAACUUGGGGUUACGUAUGAACGACUCAGAAGUUCCUGAAAGUCGUCAAAACUAAAGGAAUCGCUAGCUUGGGAUUGUAAAGCAGCCAUUGAAGAAGGAACGAAGCUUUUCAGAGUUACGUAACAAGGAAGCAAAGUAUGAACAGUGAAUCGCGAAGGAUGCGUAAGAAAUAUGAAACGUGAUUUCGUAGCAGUAAAAUGGCGUGUUCGGAGUUUAUAAGGGUUUGCAAAGCGACGCACCUUUUCAAGUUAUAGAAGGAGACAAUGAUUAAAAUUCUUUGGGGAUCGUGAACGUUGCUGAAGACGUGAAGUGAAUAUGGCAAAAUUCAAUAGUUAUUAUUAAUUCUGCCAUAUUGGGGGGUAAUUGUUGACACAUAAAAAUUCAGCCCAAAUCGAACAGCCCAGAGAAUAAAGUCCAAUUGGAGGGUCCCCAAAUCAGAUAGCCCAAAGAACGAAAUCCAAUUGAACGAAUCAAGGUGAAUGCCCAAAUAAGGGGCCCAAUAGUGCGGUAACGCCAUCGCCCAAGUUUGCAAGUCGCUCAGAGUCAGAACGAAUAGAGUGGCAUACGGUCGUCCAAAGUCUCGCCCAAAUCUUCAAGUCGCCCAAGGUAUCAACAAACAUAACGCAUUAUGAUGCAGUUAUUGAGGCAGUUGCUAAAGUAAUUUCAUCACGUUCCACGACUCAAGGGGUUCAAUCGAAAGCGGUUGAAUGAUGCAAGAUAAUGGCAGCAGUUAAAAGACAGUUGCAUGACAAAGUGGCCAUUACAAAGAAAGUGGGUAGUUAUUGGGCGAUCAAGCAGUUUUUUAGAGCAGUUAAUCACAAAGGGAUCGCCUAUGAAGUAUAAAAGGGAGAAAGAACUUAGAAGCAAGGACCGAAUCAAAAACUCUCGAACAGAGAAUAUGUAAUUUUCAUUCCUUUAGCUUUUAGACUUAAACGUUUCCUUUUCUGUAACUCGUGUGCUUGCGCCCCUUGGAGGCACGUUGUUUUUCGUUUCCAAUUGUAAAGUUCAUCGCCAAUAAAAAGAACACCCCUUUUUGGGACUUUGUCUCAAGAGGUUUCGUCC